AUUGAACGCUGGCGGCAUGCUUUACACAUGCAAGUCGAACGGUAACAGGCCGCAAGGUGCUGACGAGUGGCGAACGGGUGAGUAAUGCAUCGGAACGUGCCCAGUCGUGGGGGAUAACGCAGCGAAAGCUGCGCUAAUACCGCAUACGAUCUAUGGAUGAAAGCGGGGGACCGUAAGGCCUCGCGCGAUUGGAGCGGCCGAUGUCAGAUUAGGUAGUUGGUGGGGUAAAGGCUCACCAAGCCGACGAUCUGUAGCCGGUCUGAGAGGACGACCAGCCACACUGGGACUGAGACACGGCCCAGACUCCUACGGGAGGCAGCAGUGGGGAAUUUUGGACGAUGGGCGCAAGCCUGAUCCAGCAAUGCCGCGUGCAGGAAGAAGGCCUUCGGGUUGUAAACUGCUUUUGUACGGAACGAAACGGCUCUGGUUAAUACCUGGGGCUAAUGACGGUACCGUAAGAAUGAGCACCGGCUAACUACGUGCCAGCCGCCGCAGUAACAC
rnacentral:rRNA from 1 species